GCAAACUUGGUCAUUUAGAGGAAGUAAAAGUCGUAACAAGGUUUCCGUAGGUGAACCUGCGGAAGGAUCAUUAUCGAAACGUGUUCCCACACACACACCGUGCACCCUCGGGCGGCCUCCGGGUCCGCCCGCGUUUUUCACAUCACGACGCAUGUCUCGAAUGUAAACCUGUUUUGUAAUAGAAACAACUUUCGACAACGGAUCUCUUGGCUCUCAGAGACAGGCAAACUUGGUCAUUUAGAGGAAGUAAAAGUCGUAACAAGGUUUCCGUAGGUGAACCUGCGGAAGGAUCAUUAUCGAAACGUGUUCCCACACACACACCGUGCACCCUCGGGCGGCCUCCGGGUCCGCCCGCGUUUUUCACAUCACGACGCAUGUCUCGAAUGUAAACCUGUUUUGUAAUAGAAACAACUUUCGACAACGGAUCUCUUGGCUCUCGCAUCGAUGAAGAACGCAGC
rnacentral:misc_RNA from 1 species